GAUGAAUGCUGGCGGCGUGCUUAACACAUGCAAGUCGAGCGGUAAGGCCCUUCGGGGUACACGAGCGGCGGACGGCUGAGUAACGCGUGGGAACAUGCCCUAAAGUGAGGAAUAACUGCCCGAAAGGGUGGCUAAUGCCGCAUAUGAUCUUCGGAUUAAAGGAUUUAUCCGCUUUAGGAGUGGCCUGCGUACGAUUAGCUUGUUGGUGAGGUAAUGGCUUACCAAGGCGACGAUCGUUAGCUGGUCUGAGAGGAUGACCAGCCAGACUGGAACUGAGACACGGUCCAGACUCCUACGGGAGGCAGCAGUGAGGAAUCUUCCACAAUGGGCGAAAGCCUGAUCCAGCCAUGCCGCGUGCAGGAUGAAGGCCUUCGGGUUGUAAACUGCUUUUGUACGGAACGAAAAGACUCUGGUUAAUACCUGGGGUCCAUGACGGUACCGUAAGAAUAAGCACCGGCUAA
rnacentral:rRNA from 1 species